rnacentral:sRNA from 1 species
GCUGUUGCCCGGGCCCCGGGGGGACGGGGCUGGGGAGCGUACCGCGGGCCUCUGCGUAGGAGCUGGCUACGCGACCGCGAGGACCUGUUGAGAUCGCAGAGGAGCAGCCGAGGGGGAGUGCGAGCAGAGUGGGAAUGGGGCGGGGAGGUCGUGAGGCGGGACGGGAGCAGAUCGAAGAUGGAGGGACAGGGCCGCCUUUUCCUAGGAAUGAAGCGGAGGCGGUGGGGGCGAAACCGGCUCUCGGACGGGAAGUGUGCGUGGGUGUGUGUGUGUCGUGUCGGGGGUGGUGGUGAGUGUGAACCUUCGCUUGGGGCAGGAGGUAGCUUCGGAAAGGAAGGAGCCGACGGAGGCAAGGUUGGGGUCCUCCGAGGCCAGACCUCUGCGGGCGGGGAGGGGACAGCACGCCGCAGCCGCCGGUACCGCAGCAGUUGCCUACGUGGCUGGGGAAACGGGGCGCCGGUUGUACUCACCUCAGCUCAGGGUCCUAGAGAACUGCGGGUUUUGCUGGUCGCUGAGGUCUCCCCCACUUCCCCACCUCACUUAAGCCAUCACUUCCACCUGGUCUCCCAAAUUGAGAUCCUGAAGUCCUGAGACUCAUGUCCCACCCAACUCUGACGUCUUUAGACCCCCUUUCCUUCAGUGCCAGCCUUCUGAGAGUCCCAGCGUUCUGGCCUCUAGGGGGUCUGCAGUUUGGGCGGUAGGCAGUUCUGAUUGGCCAGUCUUCCAUGAGGCUCUUGGGCACCCAGAGUGUGUGUGUGGGGUAGGGUGGGGAGGCUGGCCAGGGGGCAGAGGUCUGCCCCCCCGUCCCAGGGCUCUGAUACCCUCCUCCCUCCACCUCCUCAGUUGAAGAAGCUGGAUCUGGCAGCUGCAGCAGCACACACCUUCUUUGUAGCAAACCCCAUGCACCUGCAGAUGCGGGAGGACAUGGCUAAGUACAGACGAAUGUCGGGAGUUCGGCCCCAGAGCUUCCGGGACCUGGAGACGCCCCCACACUGGGCAGCCUAUGACACAGGCCUGGAGCUGCUGGGGCGCCAGGAGGCAGGACUGGCACUGCCCAGGCUAGAGGAGGCUCUGCAGGGGAGCCUGGCCCAGAUGGAGAGCUGCCGUGCUGACUGCGAGGGGCCGGAAGAGCAGCAGGGGGCUGAAGAAGAGGAGGAUGGGGCUGGGAGCCAGGGGGGCCUCUAUGAGGCCAUUGCAGGACACUGGAUUCAGGUCCUGCAGUGCCGACAACGUUGUGUGGGGGAAACAUCCACACGCCCUGGUCGCAGCUUCCCUGUCCCAGACUUCCUUCCCAACCAGCUGAGGCGGCUACAUGAGGCCCAUGCUCAGAUUUCACUGUCAGGGCUGCAUGGGAACCAUCACUUCACAAGGACUCUAAUUUGCCCUCCUUUGGCGCCUGUGACAAGCUCAGGAGAUGGGCUUCCUUCUGCCUUGCUGCUUCUCACCUUCCUUUAUUUUCCCCCCUCUUGCUCUUCUUUGAACUCUCCAGCUAAGUGGGCAAUCUGUCCCAGGCUAUAGAAAAUGUCCUGAGUGUCCUGCUCUUCUACCCAGAGGAUGAGGCUGCCAAGAGGGCUCUGAACCAGUACCAGGCCCAGCUGGGAGAGCCAAGACCUGGCCUCGGACCCAGAGAGGACAUCCAGCGCUUCAUCCUCCGAUCCCUGGGGGAGAAAAGGCAGCUCUACUAUGCCAUGGAGCACCUGGGGACCAGCUUCAGGGAUCCUGACCCCUGGACCCCUGCAGCUCUCAUCCCUGAGGCACUUAGAGAAAAGCUCAGAGGAUCAAGAGAAGAGGCCUUGGGACCAUGAGCCUGCGAAGCCAAAGCCCUUGACCUACUGGAAGGAUGUACUUCUCCUGGAGGGUGUGACCUUGACGCAGGAUUCCAGGCAGCUGAAUGGGUCGGAGCGGGCGGUGUUGGAUGGGCUGCUCACCCCAGCCGAGUGUGGGGUGCUACUGCAGCUGGCUAAGCUACUCGGGAGGCUGAGGCAGGAGAAGCGCCUGAACCUGGGAGGUGGAGGUUGUGGUGAGCUGAUAUCGUGCCAUUGCACUCCAGCGUGGGCAACAAGAGCGAAACUCCAUCUCAAAAAAAUAAAAAAAAGAUGCAGCUGGGGCUGGAGGCAGGUCUGGCUAUCAUGGUCGCCGCUCCCCUCACACCCCCCAUGAACGCUUCGAGGGGCUCACAGUGCUUAAGGCUGCGCAGCUGGCCCGGGCUGGGACAGUGGGCAGUCAGGGUGCUAAGCUGCUUCUGGAGGUGAGCGAGCGGGUGCGGACCUUGACCCAGGCCUACUUCUCCCCGGAACGGCCCCUGCAUCUGUCCUUCACCCACCUGGUGUGCCGCAGCGCCAUAGAAGGAGAGCAAGAGCAGCGCAUGGACCUAAGUCACCCAGUGCAUGCAGACAACUGCGUCCUGGACCCUGACACGGGAGAGUGCUGGCGGGAGCCCCCAGCCUACACCUAUCGUGACUACAGCGGACUCCUCUACCUCAACGAUGACUUCCAGGGUGGGGACCUGUUCUUCACGGAGCCCAACGCCCUCACUGUCACGGCUCGGGUGCGUCCUCGCUGUGGGCGCCUUGUGGCCUUCAGCUCCGGUGUCGAGAAUCCCCAUGGGGUGUGGGCCGUGACUCGGGGACGGCGCUGUGCCCUGGCACUGUGGCACACGUGGGCACCUGAGCACAGAGAGCAGGAGUGGAUAGAAGCCAAAGAACUGCUGCAGGAGUCACAGGAGGCGGAGGAAGAGGAAGAGGAAGAAAUGCCCAGCAAAGACCCUUCCCCAGAGCCCCCUAGCCGCAGGCACCAGAGGGUCCAAGACAAGACUGGAAAGGCACCUCGGGUUCGGGAGGAGCUGUGAGUGGCUGAGCCAGCUCCUUGAGGAUGUGGCCACUUGACUUGUGGAAGGCCAUCUUGAUGCCAGGACCCACGGGAAGCCUCUGUGUGACAUCAGGAGCAGAACAGCAAGCUCUCUGUCCCUGCACCCCCACCAUCUUGGGGACCUACAAGGGCCUGGACUCAGAGGACAGUGCAUAGGCUAGCCUGGAGCUCACCAGGCCUGGGGAGCCGGGACUGGGCCCAGCUGCCGGACCUGCAGCCCUGGACACAUGGGGAACACUGUGCCUCCCUGAACGGAAAUGGCAGGGGAGGAGGCUGAUGCUUUAAAUGAAGGGAUGGUGGGGUUGGGGGGUAUAACCCUGCUCCUCUCUCCCAGUCUGUGCAAUAAAGGUCGUGAAGAUCUCUC